rnacentral:rRNA from 1 species
CCUACGGGUGGCAGCAGUGGGGAAUAUUGGACAAUGGGGGGAACCCUGAUCCAGCCAUGCCGCGUGUGUGAAGAUGGCCCUCGGGUUGUAAAGCACUUUCAGUGAGGAAGAACGCCUGGUGGUUAAUACCCAUCAGGAAAGACAUCACUCACAGAAGAAGCACCGGCUAACUCCGUGCCAGCAGCCGCGGUAAUACGGAGGGUGCGAGCGUUAAUCGGAAUUACUGGGCGUAAAGCGCGCGUAGGUGGCUUGAUAAGCCGGUUGUGAAAGCCCCGGGCUCAACCUGGGAACGGCAUCCGGAACUGUCAAGCUAGAGUGCAGGAGAGGAAGGUAGAAUUCCCGGUGUAGCGGUGAAAUGCGUAGAGAUCGGGAGGAAUACCAGUGGCGAAGGCGGCCUUCUGGACUGACACUGACACUGAGGUGCGAAAGCGUGGGUAGCAAACAGGAUUAGAUACCCCGGUAGUC